AUCGCUUCUCGGCCUUUUGGCUAAGAUCAAGUGUAGACUACAAGUCCUCCACAUCUUUUAUCAGAUCUAUUUUAAAAAUAUUUGUUGAUAGUUGCUAUUGUGAAUGGAGUUGUUUUUAAAAUUUCAGUUCUGAUUUU
rnacentral:snRNA from 1 species